CGGCUCAGUAACACGUGGAUAACCUACCCUCAGAUCUGGGAUAACUCCGGGAAACUGGAGAUAAUACCGGAUAAUCCGUGAACGCUGGAAUGCCUUACGGUUGAAAGCUUUAGCGUCUGAGGAUGGGUCUGCGGCCGAUUAGGUAGUUGCUGGGGUAACGUCCCAACAAGCCGACAAUCGGUACGGGUUGUGAGAGCAAGAGCCCGGAGAUGGAUUCUGAGACACGAAUCCAGGUCCUACGGGGCGCAGCAGGCGCGAAAACUUUACACUGCGCGAAAGCGCGAUAAGGGGACCUCGAGUGCGUGCGCAAAGCGUACGCUUUUCAGAUGCCUAAAAAGCAUCUGGAAUAAGGGCCGGGCAAGACCGGUGCCAGCCGCCGCGGUAACACCGGCGGCUCAAGUGGUGGCCGCUAUUAUUGGGCUUAAAGGGUCCGUAGCCGGACCAGUUAGUCCCUUGGGAAAUCUUACGGCUUAACCGUAAGGCUGCCAAUGGAUACUGCUGGUCUUGGGACCGGGAGAGGCAAGAGGUACCUCAGGGGUAGGAGUGAAAUCCUGUAAUCCUUGAGGGACCGCCAGUGGCGAAGGCGUCUUGCUAGAACGGGUCCGACGGUGAGGGACGAAAGCUAGGGGCACGAACCGGAUUAGAUACCCGGGCAGUCCUAGCCGUAAACGAUGCGAGCUAGGUGUCACGUGGAUUGCGAAUC
rnacentral:rRNA from 1 species